CCUGGCACGAUGGGGGUCUCCUCAACACUUCCAGAUGCUGUGCUUGCAUUUUGAGGGGUCAGAUCCGCUGAAGCUUACUGCAACGUCACAACGGCUGG